CGCACUCAUACCUCUCGGCUUCUCCUCAUCAGUCCCCAAAUACUUUAAGGUUCAAGAAAUAUGGUUUUGGUGCUUUAAUUUUAGGGGAGCUCUCUAUCAAAGUUAAAGUGGAACAACAGAGAAGUCAAGCUCUGGAAGCUCAUGUUGCUGCUUUUGCACAAUUUAAAGUUCCAGGGAAUGAGAAUCCUUCUACUCUCAUUUCCUUUGCAACAAAGACUUUUAAUGUUGGCCAAAUUACAUUAAAGUUGCAUGUUAUAGAGCUUGGUGCCCAACCAGGAAAACCUUCUUUUACAAAGAAACAAGCAGAUCUUUUCUUUCCUCCAGAUUUUGUAGAUGAUUUCCCGUUGCAAUGAAAGUAGUGAGAUUCUUAUAUUUGUGG